GGGACACGAUCAUCGAGCCGACGUCUGGGAACACCGGGAUCGGGCUGGCCCUGGCUGCGGCCGUGAGGGGCUACCGCUGCAUCAUCGUGAUGCCGGAGAAGAUGAGCUCGGAGAAGGUGGACGUGCUGCGGGCCCUGGGGGCUGAGAUUGUGAGGACGCCCACCAGCGCCAGGUUCGACUCUCCGGAGUCACACGUCGGGUGGCCUGGCGGCUGA